GAUUGCUUGAAUUUCAUGAGACUUUGACCUUUGAAACAAGUUUUAGACUAUUAUAGACUUAUGGAAAUUUUAAAAUUCGACUGAAUGUAUAUAUGAUGUGGGUUCCAGUGGAUUCAGUGCUUUGAAUAAAAAUGGCCCUCAUAGUAUCAUAUAGAAUGAUACUAUCUGGUUUUGUGACUUCGUUGGAAUAAUGCAGUCUUCUUGGAAGUAGUCAGUCUCUGACGAAUGCCUGAAUAUCCAGAUGUAGAACUCUCAGCAACCUCUCCAGCAGCAAGUUUGCCUGCAUGCUACUAUGCUAUUGGACCAUGAAGAAAGGGGACUAAACUUCUAAACUAGCCGAAUAGUACUACUUUCCCAGCAGUGGCAAUACCCAGAGUGAGCUGAGACUUCUCACAUCAAACAUCAAACAAGAAAAUGUAUCACAGCAUUGCGACAUUGGUAAACAUGACAAAUAAAACAGACUAUGGCCUACUGAACAUUGAAAAAGUAGAAGCAGAAUCCUACAAUAUUUCAGAAGAACUUUAUAUAAGCAUAAACCCAAUAUGGUCUGAUGUCCACCACUCUUACCUUUUCACCACAAAGAAGCAUGAGACCCCACAGGGCUAGUGAUACACCAAGAACAGAGUCCUCUAUGUGUUGACCCAGGAAAAUCCAAGCAGAUAUGACUGAAAUGUCCAUUAAAAACACUGUCACUAAGUUCACUUAGAAGUGUUCUAAAUCAACCAGCAGAUAUUACCUUACUUAGGUUUUAUUCUUGUCAUUUGUUACACCGAACAAUUUGUUUAGGACAUGCAGCAAUUAGAAGUCAGUCAAAAACCACAUUCACUGCCAGAAUAAAAGCCUAACAAUAGUUAUUUUGGGCAAUCCUUAAUAUUA